UGUACUUGGUGUUACUGCGAAGGGGGGACGGAGAAGGCUAUGUUGGCCGGGCGACGGUUGUCCCGGUUUAAGCGUGUAGGCUGGUUUUCCAGGCAAAUCCGGAAAAUCAAGGCUGAGGCGUGAUGACGAGGCACUACGGUGCUGAAGCAACAAAUGCCCUGCUUCCAGGAAAAGCCUCUAAGCAUCAGGUAACAUCAAAUCGUACCCCAAACCGACACAGGUGGUCAGGUAGAGAAUACCAAGGCGCUUGAGAGAACUCGGGUGAAGGAACUAGGCAAAAUGGUGCCGUAACUUCGGGAGAAGGCACGCUGAUAUGUAGGUGAAGUCCCUUGCGGAUGGAGCUGAAAUCAGUCGAAGAUACCAGCUGGCUGCAACUGUUUAUUAAAAACACAGCACUGUGCAAACACGAAAGUGGACGUAUACGGUGUGACGCCUGCCCGGUGCCGGAAGGUUAAUUGAUGGGGUCAGCGCAAGCGAAGCUCUUGAUCGAAGCCCCGGUAAACGGCGGCCGUAACUAUAACGGUCCUAAGGUAGCGAAAUUCCUUGUCGGGUAAGUUCCGACCUGCACGAAUGGCGUAAUGAUGGCCAGGCUGUCUCCACCCGAGACUCAGUGAAAUUGAACUCGCUGUGAAGAUGCAGUGUACCCGCGGCAAGACGGAAAGACCCCGUGAACCUUUACUAUAGCUUGACACUGAACAUUGAGCCUUGAUGUGUAGGAUAGGUGGGAGGCUUUGAAGUGUGGACGCCAGUCUGCAUGGAGCCGGCCUUGAAAUACCACCCUUUAAUGUUUGAUGUUCUAACGUGGACCCGUGAUCCGGGUUGCGGACAGUGUCUGGUGGGUAGUUUGACUGGGGCGGUCUCCUCCUAAAGAGUAACGGAGGAGCACGAAGGUUGGCUAAUCCUGGUCGGACAUCAGGAGGUUAGUGCAAUGGCAUAAGCCAGCUUGACUGCGAGCGUGACGGCGCGAGCAGGUGCGAAAGCAGGUCAUAGUGAUCCGGUGGUUCUGAAUGGAAGGGCCAUCGCUCAACGGAUAAAAGGUACUCCGGGGAUAACAGGCUGAUACCGCCCAAGAGUUCAUAUCGACGGCGGUGUUUGGCACCUCGAUGUCGGCUCAUCACAUCCUGGGGCUGAAGUAGGUCCCAAGGGUAUGGCUGUUCGCCAUUUAAAGUGGUACGCGAGCUGGGUUUAGAACGUCGUGAGACAGUUCGGUCCCUAUCUGCCGUGGGCGCUGGAGAACUGAGGGGGGCUGCUCCUAGUACGAGAGGACCGGAGUGGACGCAUCACUGGUGUUCGGGUUGUCAUGCCAAUGGCACUGCCCGGUAGCUAAAUGCGGAAGAGAUAAGUGCUGAAAGCAUCUAAGCACGAAACUUGCCCCGAGAUGAGUUCUCCCUGACCCUUUAAGGGUCCUGAAGGAACGUUGAAGACGACGACGUUGAUAGGCCGGGUGUGUAAGCGCAGCGAUGCGUUGAGCUAACCGGUACUAAUGAACCGUGAGG
rnacentral:rRNA from 1 species